UAUCUGUGAAUGCCCUCUGCCUCUGUUCAGCUGUUAAUGGCAUAUUGUCUUGGCCUGAGAAAAUGAGGGACUGAAUGGGUACUGUAGCUUUCAGCUGUUUCCAUCCCUUUGGAGGAGGGGGGAAGUUGUCACUGAAAUCCCAAAGAGGUUGAUGUCUUUGCAGAGACAGCUCUGGUCUCCCUCGAACUGCCAGAGGUCAGAGGAGGGCCUGUGUGGCUGUUAGCUGAAGUCUUCAUCUAGAGACGACUACUGUCUGAUCUGGAGGCAGCAGACAAGGCCCAAAACCACCGGACAAAAGCAGUUCCUGAGGGACACGCCCUCCCAGAACCGAGACGGUGAGUGGAGAACUUCAGGCACUGAAACAGUCAGAAUAGAAGAAGAAAAGAUGCUGAUACAAUUUAACUUCAGUCAUAACUCAGACAACCAAAACGUAACAGAAAAACAAAGCCAAGGAGAAAUGCCAGCAGCUACUGCUAAAAUUCAAACGUAGCUGCCAGUGUAAAAAAGAUGUAGUAAGUCCAAAUGUUUAGAAGAAUAAAGGAUGAAACGAAGCAAAACGAUA